rnacentral:rRNA from 1 species
AGCGAACGCUGGCGGCAGGCCUAACACAUGCAAGUCGAACGAACUCUUCGGAGUUAGUGGCGGACGGGUGAGUAACACGUGGGAACGUGCCUUUUGGUUCGGAAUAACUCAGGGAAACUUGUGCUAAUACCGAAUGUGCCCUUCGGGGGAAAGAUUUAUCGCCAUUAGAGCGGCCCGCGUCUGAUUAGCUAGUUGGUGAGGUAACGGCUCACCAAGGCGACGAUCAGUAGCUGGUCUGAGAGGAUGACCAGCCACACUGGGACUGAGACACGGCCCAGACUCAUACGGGAGGCAGCAGUGGGGAAUCUUGAGCAAUGGGCGAAAGCCUGACGCAGCCAUGACGCGUGAAUGAUGAAGGUCUUAGGAUUGUAAAAUUCUUUCACCGGGGACGAUAAUGACGGUACCCGGAGAAGAAGCCCCGGCUAACUUCGUG